UACGGAGGAUGCGAGCGUUAUCCGGAUUUAUUGGGUUUAAAGGGUGCGUAGGCGGGCUUUUAAGUCAGCGGUAAAAAUUCGGGGCUCAACCCCGUCCGGCCGUUGAAACUGGGGGCCUUGAGUGGGCGAGAAGAAGGCGGAAUGUGUGGUGUAGCGGUGAAAUGCAUAGAUAUCACGCAGAACCCCGAUUGCGAAGGCAGCCUUCCGGCGCCCUACUGACGCUGAGGCACGAAAGUGCGGGGAUCGAACAGG
rnacentral:rRNA from 1 species